rnacentral:rRNA from 1 species
GUCGAGAAUCUUUCACAAUGGGGGCAACCCUGAUGGAGCGACGCCGCGUGGAGGAUAAGGUCUUCGGAUUGUAAACUCCUGUCAUGCGUGAACAAGGUUGCUUGGAUAAUACCUGAGCAAAUUGAUGGUAACGCAAGAGGAAGAGACGGCUAACUCUGUGCCAGCAGCCGCGGUAAUACAGAGGUCUCAAGCGUUGUUCGGAAUCACUGGGCGUAAAGGGUGCGUAGGUGGCGUGGUAAGUCAGAUGUGAAAGCCCGGGGCUCAACCUCGGAACUGCAUCCGAUACUGCCAUGCUAGAGUACUGGAGAGGUGACUAGAAUUCUCGGUGUAGCAGUGAAAUGCGUAGAUAUCGAGAGGAAUACCAAAGGCGUAGGCAGGUCACUGGACAGUUACUGACACUGAGGCACGAAGGCCAGGGGAGCGAACGGGAUUAGAAACCCGUGUAGUCC